rnacentral:rRNA from 1 species
UACGUAGGGGGCAAGCGUUGUCCGGAAUCAUUGGGCGUAAAGAGCGUGUAGGCGGCCCGGUAAGUCCGCUGUGAAAGUCCAGGGCUCAACCCUGGGAUGCCGGUGGAUACUGUCGGGCUCGAGUCCGGAAGAGGAGUGUGGAAUUCCUGGUGUAGCGGUGAAAUGCGCAGAUAUCAGGAGGAACACCAAUGGCGAAGGCGGACUCUCUGGGGGUAUUUCUGACGCUGAGGCACGAAAGCCAGGGGAGCGAACGGG